rnacentral:lncRNA from 1 species
AUAUGUAUGUAUAUAUGUAUGUAGUUUAGCACAUCAUUAUAAUUGUUAGUAGUAAUAGUAUUAUUAUGUCUUGAAACAGGGCUCCUUACAAAUAAUAGAAAAAGCUGUCUAAGGGUGAGAAUAGCUGCAUUCUAAGAAAGAUAAGCUGUAACUAUCAGUAUGGGUUAAUUAGUGUUGAUUAAAAUAUCCAGAGUCCCACUGACUUCACAGAGGAUGUGUGACUUUAAAAAAUAUGCUAGAUAAAGUCUCAACUGUGACUUGUAAGUGUAAUAGAAUCUGAGUUUAUCUUGUGGGUUUCUUCAUAGCCUCGAUUUAACCAUUCCUCCAGAAAAAAAAGAUUAUUUGAUUGAUUUCUAUCCUAAAAGGUAUUCUACUUUAGGAAUUGGUACCAUGUCUCUGGAGUUUGUAUUCCCAGUGCCUGGCAUUUGUUUGAUGAGUGCAUAAGAGCAAAUAGUUGCAUCUUAGGUCUGUGAGUAUGCUAAUUGGACCAAGAAGCGACUUGAAUGUUAGUAUGUGUGAAAACAUGUGAUUGUAUAUAUGAUUUUAUGUUGCAUGAAAUUAGACAUUAGCCCCUGUGAGGAAAGUAACCCAUUUUGGUUCCUGGAUUCUAUAGAUGCAGCAGCUAAAGGCCUGGCAGGCCCUGAAUAAAUGUUUCUUAAAUGAAAGAAGUGUGUUAAAGGCAGUGCCAAAGAGUAGAAAGAUUUAUAAUUUAUUGUCAGCCAGGACAACUUCCAUGCUCGGGGACCUUGGAGAAAUUACUUAAUUUACCUAAGAUUUGGGUUUCUCAUAAGUUAAAAGAGGGAUACUAAUAGUACCUACCUCAUAAGGUUAUGGUGGAGAUGGAGGAAUUGAAGCAUGCAAAGUGCUUACUACUAUGUUUGGCAAAAAGCAAGGACUAAAUAAAAGUUAGUUGUCGUAACUGCUGCUUCUGCUGACAUUACUAGCUUCAUGUCUGUAACAAUUCAGGUUAUGAUCUCAGUGUAUCUCAAAAUGUCUGUGGUUUUGGCUUUAGUAGGAUAGAAUCCAUUGGGAAAAUGCUAGGCUAUGCUGAAGUAAUGAGUUAGCUCUGAAAUCUUAAUGACGUUUCUCUUCAUUUCUUGCACUUCAUUUGUUGCACAUGGGUACAAUGCAAGUCAGAUGAAACUCCUGGGCACCUAGCUGUACACCAUGAAGGGACUUAGCAAUCAGAGUGUCUACCUUCUGGUUCCGUCACUUCAACACAAUGUGUUCCAUAAUGAGGCUGGGACUACAGGCGCUCGUCACCUAUGCCGGCUAAUUUUUUUUUUUUUUUUUGUAUUUUUAGUAGAGACGGGAUUUCAUCGUGUCAGCCAGGAUGGUCUUGAUCUCCUGACCUCAUGAUCUGUCCGUCACAGCCUCCCUAAGUGCUGGGAUUACAGGCGUGAGNNNNNNNNNNGGGGAGAAUAGAGAGAUUAUAAUUUGUUGUAUCCAUAAGAGGAUUUUUCUAACAAUGUAGUUUGUGCUCGUCAGUGAGAAUAUAUUGAUAUACUUAAAUUGGUAGAUAGUGUGGGAAGAAUUACGCAUUUUUCCUUUUGGUACACGCAGAGGUGAUAAUAUACACCUACAGAUCUUUCAAAAUGAUUUUUUCUUUCUUUUGAGAUGAAGUCUUGGUUUGUCGCCCAGGAUGGAGUGCAGUGGCGCGAUCUGGGCUCACUGCAAGUUCCGCCUCCCGGGUUCACACCAUUAUCCUGCCUCAGCCUCCAGAGUAGGAGGGAUCACAGGCGCCCGCCACCAUGCCCCGAAAAAGUU